UCGGAUUGGAGUCUAAACCUCAUUACACACAAUUGUUGAAAUAUGUGCAGGCGAACACUCACAGAAACAUACUUACAACAAACAUACACGUUUAAUGAGUCAUUACUGGAGCAUCAACAGGCCACAUCCUGAAGUGGAAGCAGAAACUAAGUCCAUCAGGGCUGUGUCAUCAGACCGACACAAAAACAGAACAGGAUGCUGUGAUAUCAAAUGAUAACAGCAAAGAGGUAAUGACAAAGUAUGUGUGUCCUGGUGAGUGUUUGCCAGCUAACCCUUUGGUGUUGCUGGCUAGUUUCUAAUUAUACCUUCCCUGCCUUCAUGUGCAGCAGAGCAGAUAGCUAGCUAUCCAAACUAAAGCCUCUAAUUACUUCAUCUUACUCAAUCUACACGAGGAUUCAUGAAAUGAGGUGCACCACAGCACUCUUGAGUUUUUGUGAUGCAACUCAAACAAACAAGAAAAUAAAGGGAUCUUGGCUCUCGAUCUGUUCAAUUGCACGACAGCACACCCCGUAUCUUGGCUGUUGAGCAAUGGAUGCGCUCUAGUGUGUAGACGAUGAAUCCACCCAAAUACACCUUGGUGCCUGUAAUUAGAGCUGUUUAGAUUAGAAGAUGGUGAGGAAAUUACUGUACUUUCUGCUUGAUUCUCGUGUCAGAUCAAAAGGAGCAAAAGAUGUGCCUGAUAUUUGACCUGAUAACCUCUUCUGUUUACAUCCACAAGUAGACAAGGUGAGGUCAACUCUGACCUAAGUCCAUGAUUGAAAGACUACUUAAGUGUUGCACUUAUACCUAUUAUCCUGAUGUUUUUGAACUUCAAUUUUGUAUGGCUUCUACUUUUAUUUUACAGCUUUUCACCAUGAAACAUUCCACAAUUGCUUCGCUUCAUUUAUUACACGGCAUCUGGAACGAGAUGCUUCAUAAAUAAAGAUUUUUAUGAUGCAAAACUAAACCUAUUACACAGAUUUCCAAACUUUUUCAAUCAAAACCCCCUAAAAAAUGUUGUGUUCCUCCAGGACUCAAAUUUAGAAAAAUACAACACGAGACACUGCUUAUAACUAUUAACCAAUAAAAAAGAAAAAGAAAAGCAUGAAUUUAAAAUGUGUAUGAAAUGUAUUAAUCACCUCUAGUCAAAGCUUUAACUGGGCCCGUUCACUCUAAACACAGUACUUGCACUUCCAAAUGUAACCCCUAAGCAUAAUGGGGCUAUUUCUGGAAAAUUGGGACCAAACAUCGUCUGCCAUACCCUUUUCCUGUCCUCGCCACAUUAUAGUAUUUUUAGGUGAAGCAGCAGAGGUGAGCAUUGUGUCUCUUGGCACAGUGGACAUUCACUGGCAGGUUUGUACCGAGCACAUGGCUUAGUAAGGUUGUGAAUUUUCAUGUGGGAACUGAGAAGUAUGACGAGAGGAUUAUUAGGGGUUAAUGUCAAAUUAUAUUUGAAAUGCUGGGUUUUAACUAGACUGUAUAAUAACUAGAUGCAGCGUCUGUGUUUGUGAAGCAGAGUUUUACAGCCUAUAGGCAGAAGUCGCCAUAUCGGUAAUGCUGACUUAAUUAGUCAACCUACCAAAAGCGGGCCUCCUCCUUGUAGCUGCCCGUCAGUCAAGUCAGGUCAUUUGACCAUCUUGAAUGCAUUAUAAAAAAUGUCACUUCCUCUAUUGAGGGUGCUGUAGGAGCCCUGAGCUGUACAGACCAAAACGAUAUUUUCGGUCUUGAUUUUGAACCAGGCAAAUUUGGCUCUUGUUGUCGUACGCUGUACAUGGUUUUCAGUGCUUCUGCAGCCAAAAAACUCAGAGAACCGCAGUUUCUAGCUCUUAUAGCCACAUCGACCUAAUUUGUCAACACCUGAGGUUGCUGCGUGGUUUUAACAUAAUGUCUAGCACUAACAGAAUGCUGGUUGAUGGGAUUUGUUGUAGACUUUUGUGGGGAAUUUCAUUUGGCUAUUGCAAGCUGCUGAUUUAGGCUAACAGCUAACAUGCUGCAACAAGUUCACGCAGAGCUAACUUUACCAGCCAAGUGUCACUGUAGGGCCACAGAAGGAAUGAGGGGGGCGAGUGACGGCCACUCACACUGCCAAUGUGUCGAACAUUACUUGGUUUGAUAAGGAAAAUAAAUUUAGGCAUUUUACUCCAAGCAAGAACUCGCUGGCGGCCAAAUUUUGAGUUCUGACCCUAAAUUUGAGAAAGGUUGGCUCAAGAAAAAUAGUUCAUUGUUUUCUAGCAGUUUAUGCUAAUAGAUGAAGAUUGCUGUACACGUUAGAGUAAAAAGAAAAAUAAACGAAAUGUAGGACAUUCAUAAAAACAUGAUUUUUGCCAAUUUUUCUGCAUGAUUAGAAAUAGUUUUAAUAAAAUUGCAUGUCUUUGGUCGUUGUUUGUAAAAAUUUCAGUGAAGCCACUUGUUACUCGGAGGCAGUGAUUGUACUUUUAAUAAAGUCUGCUGAAAUGGUGGUACGGCUCAUUUUUCCCCUAGAGACGGAAUGAGUUUAGGGUACACAAAUUUGAAGUAUGCAGGCAGACAUACAGAAAAACACGCUCCAUUUAAACUAUUUAGUGUCCAUUUUUCACAGUAAUUAAGAGUAAUGGGAGCAUUGUCAGCAGUACAAUAUACCAUGCAGGGGCAGCCAAGUCAUGUUUGUGGGGGUCCUGGAAUCUGUGUGUGUGUGGAUGUGUGUGUGAGGCUGUCAUCAUUACUCCAACCACAGACUAACACAGGCCACAGGCAUGUGCCCCAAACUCAACGAAGGCCAGUAUAUGUGUGUUUGUGUGUGUAUAUCUGUGUUUGUGUCAGACACGCAGCUACGGUACAUUUAGUGGACUCCGCAGUUACAACAGCAGCAACAACAACGUGCACUCAUGGCCUCACAUACCAACACACAGCUAUUACACACAUACGCUGACACAUGUCCACACAUGUACUCACACACAUACUAACACACCCUUAUAGAAGCGAAUCUAGGGGUGUGAGAGGUUUGGAGUUAACAGCACACUCGCCCACACAACUGUAUCCAAACCAAUUACAUUUAGUGUUGUCAUACCACAAGGAUGAAUCAGCAGCUCCACUGACAUGCGUUUUUUCAUGCUACUGUUGACUUCCACGAGCUGGAAACAUGUACUACAGCAAAAUGUAAUCUCAAAGACACACAUGCACACUAUUAAUCAUAAACAUACACAUUUACACAUGUAAGUUCAGGGAGUAUGCAUAACCCAAACGCAAAGCAGAACGGAUUUUAAUCUAACUGGGCUGACAUUCAUCAAAGUAAGUGCAUCAUGAUAACAUUUAAUAGGCAAUUAUAGCUCAAACUUAUUUGUUUAUACCGCUGUCUUCAAAUCUGCUAUCACCUUUCAAGAUCUAAGCCUUCACAAUAAAGCUUUUCUCUGCUGGAGUACCUGGUGUAUCUGCCAUUGUUAUUCUAACAUCGCUGCCAAACACCCUUGACAGACAACCCUGAGUUAACAAACCCAUGAGUGAACCAUCAGAGAUGAAAGGGUAAAGAAGCAGGGCUGUGUACACAGAGGCAAUGCAUGUUAUUUUGUCAGAUGAAAGAGAUGGCAUACUUCUGGAAUGAGCAUUCGGAUCAAAAACAAGCUCUUAUGUAAACAUCAUUUCACAGGGAGGUGUCAAACUUCUGGGCGCUGGCAACGAAUCGCUUCAUGGCGAAGAAGCACAAUGCUCACUAUUCAUCUUUGUGGGAUGACAAUCUGCCUGGUUGAGCAACAACGGGAAAUCUCCCCGUCCUUGGGAAAUAAUAAUUAAACAAAGGACAACUCAGUCAGCACAAUACGCUGAGUGUGUGAACACAGGUGGAGAACAGGUUUGCUCUGCUCAUUUGACUUGGGAGCGACGUCAACAGAAGAGAGGAAACAAGGCUUUUACAGAGCGAGGUGGUGACGCGAUGUUCUUUGAAUGGGUUUCAUGUUACGCUCCAGGUUAUUUACCUGUGACUGUUGUUCUGUUUAACUCUUGCUCAUUAGUUACUAGUAUUUCACCUUUCCUGAACUCUCUGUCCUGACACUGGAGUUAGAUUUCACCACAGUGAUGUGUUUCGGGCAAGCAGCAACCCCCGUGAAAGGAAGCUGAAGGUUAAGUGCAAAAAAAAAAAAUUGCAGUUCUUUAAUUGUCCACUUGAGGCUGGUUGCAAGAGACAAGAAAACCUCACUGACAUUCAUGUGAAAUCGUCCAUUUUACGUCUGUUGCAUAACUAGGGUAACCACUGAGACUAAUGACAGGCAGGCAUCUUUGUCCCUUUCUAGGUUGACUGAGAGUAAGGAUUAGUCAGCGUCUCCUGAAUGGUGACCAACAUUACUUGGCUUCUACCACUGGGUAAUUUCGUUGAAGCUAUGUCUAUGUUUUAUACAGUUUAUUGUCAUGAAAUUACUCUAGAUGUGAUUAGCUUAACUAUGCAUUACAUAGAGGAUGGAUGCCAGCCUGCCCCUUCAGAUUAGGGGCACACAAAAACAUAUGUGCUGUGACCACAGCGUAAAAGUGCUGUUUACGAACCACAAGCCUUUGUCAGUAUGUUCAAAUGUGGAAACUUGAUAAAGCAUGAGACCCGAGCAGGUAAGCAUUAAAUAGUCAAAUUUUUUUAUCAGUUGUAGAAGUGUUGGGAAUCCACUUAUCCAUUCACAUUAGUGUUAAUCUGACAAUAGUAUUUAACUUGAUGAUGGACUUUAGUAAGAUAGUGAUCUUAAUUCGAUGACAUCUUUGCUAACAGCCCCUGGGGCUAUGAAACCCUCAAAAAGAACAUCUUGUAUUUUGACUGACAGAAUACAAGUCUGCUUGGCGUCCUGCCAGCCGAUGAUUCAGAGAUGAAUCUUUAAUUUUUGAAAGGCAGCCCACGAGAGAAGUUUGCCUUAUACAUCUGGUAAGCACCACUUUGUUUUUGAACAAGUAAAAUAGCCCCAUCUCUGGUGACAAGGUGUCAUGAUGCUGUACACAGUCACUGCGCCUGGAUCACAUUUGCCAAAAGAAAGGUCCAAUAUGUGUGAAACCUCAAACAUAAAUUUUUACACUUCUAUUGUGUGUCUUUUUCCAUGUGGCGGACACGAGGCCUGGCACGUCUCUGAGCACCAUCCCCGGGACAGAUCCGUGACACUGGGCUCCUUUACCAGGGGAGGCCUAUAAAUGACUGGUUUGAUCCAUCCUGGUGUUCCUUCCAUCUGCAGCUGACACCUCCUCUGUGGUCUCAGGUCCCUCUACUAUGAUGUCAUACAAUGUUUGAGUCCUGGUUUACCACAUGAAGGAAACUUGGCCACACUGACUUCAGCUGUAAAGGCCCAUAGUCGGUAAGUGUGUUGGUCUUAAACAGAAACAAGUGGUCGUAUUAUGUUGCCUGAGCUGCCUGUUACAGUAACGCUUCAUGAAAGCCUGAGUAAAGAGAUACCUGACCACAAUACCCAGUGUUUUGCUUUGCUCUGUUGCCUUCUGGACUCUAUUUAUUUUCAAUUUGCCGCUGGCUUUCCUACCAAAGCCAGUGGUGGCACAACUGGAGGACAAUGUACGCACUUCAAUUCACACUACCACCUGUAUCCUUCAGGUGGAUUCUCACACACUCUCCCUCUCUCUCUCUCUCUCUCCAUAUGCAACAUAUCCCAGUGCUUGUACAGCUGCAACCAAUUCACUGCAAACAAACAAUCUGCCCAUUGUUUUUACAAAUAAUAUCCCAAUAUGCAGCGUCUACCCGCUCUGCCAGACGAGCAUGAAGCAAACAGAUGCUUCUGAAAAGUGGGGGCAGCAUUACAGCUGGGGAUAAAAUGCCUACUCUUCAUUAUAGUUGGUCCAGAAGCUUGCUGCUGGCGGCUUGGGGCUGGUGCUAGGACAAGGGCCAGGACCAGCGCUGGCUCAGCUCCUGGCUGCUAUGUUAAGUCUGCCUCAGCCACAACCACAUUGCGCAAAGCUGCUUCACACAUAUAAUUUACUCAUUAUUCAAGAAGUCUUCGAAGUAGUCAAAAAAUAUGCUGCCCAGUGAGAGACACGGUGGAAAACUAACACAGAGCGAGUCGCCAUUCUGUGAGAAAUAGAGUUGUAUCCAGUUAUAUAAUAUUAAGAGAUGGCAGGCUUAUGGAGUCACAGUCAAUUAGCACAGCUGAUUGCAUAGAGGAGACCACAGAAACCUUAUACUUUAAAAAUUCUUAAUAGUACUCAAGGAGACAGAUUUACCAAUGAUUGGCACACUCCAGUAUGAGUGCAUGCCAUCAGCAGAUACCGGUUACUGUGUCUGAUUUAGUAUGCUUACAGCGCUCGGAUUACUUUUUACAGGGCAGGAAAUAGACGUCUCAGAGUCCUUGGUUCGUUCCAUGAAACAUCCUUAACAGGAGAUGAGCGAGUUUUUCAGACAUGGGUGACUAUUGUGGUGUUUAAGCAAGAGCAUCAAAAGCCCUGAGAGUUGUGUAAUGGAAUACCUUUCCUUUCAGACAAUGACAAAGUAACGGUCAAAGAAGUUGUCUCAUUAGCAGUCAUCAGGUCUUAAUCACAGCCUUUACACCACUUGCUAUCUCUUCCACGUCACCCUACCCCCCCCUUUAAACCCAUUUCUUCUGCUUCAUCAACCAAACUCUUUAAUGUCCCUACUUGUUUUUCAUCCUUUCAAAAUCCUACUGUCUUUAACCCCGCCAUAGAAAAUGAUUAAAUGCACAGCCUCAUUUGUGUAGGGACUUUGCAAAGGUGGAGUCUUUGGUAAUAGAAUGAAAGGGAGGAGGCUGGCGGGCUUUGAUCUCUCUGGGGGGCAAAUGGAUUGGAUUGUCUUGCCCCUGCUGGUGGGGCUAAGCUGGGGACAGUGUGAGACGCAGGGGGUCAUAUCAAAGGUGGUUACCUUCAGAGGGGCUCCUCGGCGGCACAUUAGUACACUAUCUAAAUGUUGAUUUGUUCGCACCAACAUCAGAGGAGGACUAAAUGAGCUGACAAAAGGGAACACCCUGUGAAUGUGAAUGAGCUAAGUGGUCAAGUUCACCUCUUUAGGGUCACAUCUUUUUAUCUUUCUCAUCCUUUCAGCCAGUGUUUGAUUCGAGGCCUUAUUUAGAUGAGAAGAGCUUCAUUAAAAACUGACAAGUCUUUCCAUCCAUUUAAAAAAAAAUCUGUUUCUUUGACACUGAUAUGAAAACGAUGGCUGACCAGUUAUUGGUGGUAUAACUUUGUAACCAACACCAUGAGCCUUCAUUGUGGUCAGUAAAAGCCUGUUAAAAGUGUAAACUCAGUAUAGUCUACAUAAAUAUAACAUAGACCAAUAUAAAUGGAUUCCCCAUGGUGUUUUCAAAAGCUUUCACUGUGUAGCUCAGGCUCCAAAUUUUGUUUCAGCUGUCAAAACAGCACAAGUUCACCAUCUUGUGUAAACAGCUCCCAAAACUAUCACGAGUAGACAAUUUAAAAAGCUUCCGUCUAUAACAGUCAGUCUCAAAUAGAUCUUAUACGCCGAUUCUUCCAUUCAUAGCACCCACUGUUAAUAGCACAGCAUGCUCAUCGUCUAUGUUGUGGUAAAGCAAUGAUUGGGAACACCCUAUAGCCCCAGCAAAAAAGCCAUGUUGAGGUCUGUCUGUGUGUGUGUGUUCCUCCAUUGUGGGUGGGAAACAUCAUAUUACUGUCACUCUCACAGCUGACAUUUGGAGAAAAGGUAUAAAUCAAACACACACAUACACCCCAGCAGCCACUGUCAGCCAUAGACAGACAGACACAAAGAAUGAACUUUAUCAUGCAUGACAUCUUUGCCUCUAAUUUGAUCAUUUGUGGACAUCGAAAUGUUCACAAAUAUCCCUGCUGGUGCAAACCACAGACUUCUCAUGCAUCUGUUUGAGAGAACCACUGUUGCAUUUUACACCCCCCUGAAGCCGCAGGGCUAACAUUAGAGAAAAGAGUAGGUGGGUGUUUUGUUUUUGGAUUUGAGAAAAAAAAAAGAAUUGGACAAGAAACUUCUUAGAAGUUGAGUGACUCAAGAUUUAAUUAUAACACAACUGCCAGAAGCUCUGAACCUGCGGAGUGACUGCUGUUCCUCACCAGUAAAAAGCAAGUCAAAGCAUAUAGUUCUAUCUUUAUUAUUAUAAGCCCUCCCAGGCUUGUUAGAAUGAAUUCUCAGCAAUAACCAUAAAAGAAGAAAAUUAGACUCUUUCCCUGGUGUCACAGUUUGCCAUUCUCUUUGUGCAUGGCCCAAAUGUGGGAUUGCAAAUAAGCAUCUCUAUUUUUAGGGAUUUUAAGACCAGCAGCACCCGUGUGGGUCAUUCCAUAUCAUUAGAAACAGCUCCAGAGAUGAACAAAUGCUCAUGGCGCUCGUAUAAUUCUGGUCUUUAACCUUAUAGUACAGUGAAAUCGAAGCCAAGCCUAAAACCUCCUUCCAUCAUUGGUGUUAUUUUUGAAUCUAUACUGAAAUUUGGGUUGACACAUUGAUUUAAAAUGCCUACUUCUUUGGUUAUCUCAUGCAUCAAAUGUUCAACUCAGCACAUUCUUCAGCAGCUUGAACCCAACUCAGAAGCCUCAGCCUAACCCCCUGUUCCUGACAUGUACAUUUCAGCUCUUCCCCAUACUCAGUCAUUAGCCCUGCUGUCUGACUUCUGAGCUCUUACUCCAGUCUGCUGCUGCUGGUGGUAAAUAUUUGCUAGAAAGAGAUUGCGUUCUAAAAUGGUACUCCAAUGUCUCCUUUGCAUAAUAGUUGCUGUGAAGGCCUCCAUUGUCUCGUUUAAACUGACCACAGAGUGUAUUUUGGUGAUGUCGGCAAGGCUUGGCUUCUCUACAACUCUAAUUAGCAUUCCUUCCAGAUAAAACAAUGAUCACUUGAAUACGACCGAGCUAAGCCUGCAGGAAGUGAUCUAAAGAGCUGAUAGGGAACCUGUGAUUACCAAGCAACUAACUCCAGUCCUUCAUGCAUAAUGUUUUAAUUCAACAUCACCCCCUGCCACCCCAUGUUGUCCCAUCACUAAUCUUGUCCAAUGUUAUCUUCAAACUACUGCUUUGUCCCCGCAGCUACAGGCUUUAUCAUUUAUUGAUUAUGUCUCUCAGAUUAAAGGAGCUGCUUUCAUUUCCACAAGAAUGCGCCCCUCGCUUUGUGUCCAUAUGGAAGCAUUUGCCGGACAGAUGGGUUAUUUUCCUAGGUCCCGCCGGUCAGAAAGAGAUUCACAGGGACUUGGUAAGAAGUGGUGCUGCUGAUGACCAAUUGUCGCUCGCUUUGAAGUCCAACUCCAAGGUGAUCUGAGCGUUUAUGAGAAACGGGGGAAAGUGUGAAAAACAUGCAGGAAUAUGUUAAAGUAAGGUGAAGCUGAAAAUCUGAACCCUAAAUCUCAUGAGCCACUUUUAAAAGUCUUCAUCUUAAUUCCUCCAGACAAUCCAGGCCUGUCAAAUGGGCACAUAAUACCACCUCAAACCCCCUCAAGCCUUACAGACUUAAUUCCAUGUGCUGAGAAGCUGAAUUGCCUGAAUGUGGGUUACACACAAAUGACGGACAUUUUGUCUUGGGGUAAGUACUAAUAUGCCACUGUUGUUGCCCAGGCUGUCUGUAUCUGGGUUUUGGUUUAAAUGUUGGGUUUACUCUCCCUGGGCUGUGCGGUUUGCAGCAGCUUAAUCACAAAGCCACAAGCAUCUCAGCCAUUUUGAUAGGAGCCAAACUGGGGAGGCUUCGUAUGUUACACUGUUUUUUGCUCGAUAUAGAGGUCUCUUUCUGCAGAGUCAGCAAGGCUAACGAGAUUGAAAUAGUUCUUGUUGACAAAUUGAAAAUGUGCAAAUAAAAAGAGAGUAAACCUGAGAGAGUUAUGGACUGUAAAAUGUUACGGGCAGUAAAUCUAGCGAGCAGGAGCUAGGUUCUGCUUGUGAAGAAAUGGAAAGAACAUUUAAUUUUUUGAAAUUCAACCUGGAAGGAAAUACAUAAGUAUCAAAAACAUUUAAAGAUCCCCUGAAUGGUGAAAUUUAAACCAAAUUAUGCAUUAAUGUAGGGAUUCGAUAUGGUUUUUGGACAGCUUCUUUUAGUUUUCGUGCUUGGACAAGUGGAGCAUCUGGAGACAGUUUCCAGAUCAGUCUCAGUCUGGGAUGGAAGAUGAGUGAGGAACCAAAGCAUGGCUCUAAGAUUAAAGAGAAUGAGGAGAUAAAAGAUCUUCGAAUUGACAAUUACUACCACAAGCUUCUGAGAGAUAACACAGAUCACUAGUCUGCGAACACACACUCAACAUCUUUUCACUUAUCAGCUCCAGACAGGCGCUUCUCAAUCCACGUGUCCUGAUCACAAAUAAUAUUUCCCAGCACGCAGGUGUUUACAAUCCUUGCCGAACAACCGUGUUUACUAAAACAUCAGCAUUAAAAAAAAAAAAAAAAAAAAAGUUACAGGCAAUGAGGCAAUUAACGCCUGUGUACCACGACGAGUGCCUCAUCUUACUUACUAAUGGUUUGGGGCUGAGAACCAAGCCUGCUUUUAUAGAGAGUCCUACUUGCGAGACGUCCAAAAUAUUGCCCACAAGGGAGGGUGUUUUGAGAAGUUGGAUCACUGCAGACACACAGAGGCUUUUUUGUUGUGCUGUGCAUGUAAUUUACAAUCACAACUGAUGGACUCAGAGAAGCUGCUACUGUUGACUCCUGCAGAGAAAAUCGCGUAAACUUGCUGCACUUUGGAUGCUGUGCAGGAGUGGUGAGAAGUGUGUGCAGGCAGGAGCCAAGUUAGGCCCUCGGAAUUUUUCCACGGAGGAGAAUAGCUGAUUCAUUAGUGGCUCAUUUACGAUAAAGCCAAUUUUAACCUGUUUUCUCUUUUUUUUUUUAAAGCAGUCUGAGCUGCUUGGCUUGUAAGUGGUACAAUAAAGCUCAACACAUUCAGACCUGUGAUAAAUCUUUAUCACUAAUGAUAUUUAGCUCUUCCUUUUGGAGUUUUAAUGUGUCUUUUACCUCUCUUUUUGGUCCCUCUCUUCCCCUUAAGUGUUGCAAAUCUCUCCAAGUCUCAUCCCUUGUUUUCCCUUUCCUCUCAUUCCUCUCUGAUCUGUCACCCUUAUUGCAGGGAAGCUAACCCCUGGUUCUUCAGAGAUCUGUGAGUUCAUGGAGAGGAAUGUGUGUCCUUCCUGACAUUACAACGCUCUUUAUCAACUAACAAGAUGAGGGGAAGGAGGAGGAGGAGGGAGCGGGAAGGAAGAGAGGAGGAGGAUGUUAAGAUGUUAGAAACGGUUUGAGAGCUUAGGGGAAAAAAAAGAGGGCUCUUUGUGGCUGCUUAUCAGACAGGAUAUGAAGCAACUCAAUGGCUUUGGCAUUUGGCAAAAUAGCUUCCUUCAAUGGGCAUUUACUACAAGAGGCAUCCCCUGACAUGAGGCCACAUAUGCCUGAGUGAGUGAGUGAGAGAGAGAGAGGGAGAGAAUUUCAGGAAGAGGAAAGACAGCCGGAGGGUGUUUAAGAAGUUCCGUAUUUUGUUAAUUGCCCACGAUAAGAUGCAGCAAUUUGCCGGUAGUUGUGAUGAUUAUCAAUUGCAGCAAUUUAACAGAUGUUGUUGCACUGUUUGAGCUUUCAAACACAUCAGUCUUUUUUUUUCAUUGCUGGCUAAAGGACACUUCUGACUAAUUUCUGAAUUUUGGAGAAACGCCACGAGAAGAUGAGCCAAAUUUAUCUCACCAAAGGACACUUCUGCUUUCAUGCACGAAAACUGUCUCUCUCUCACGCACACACACACACAUGUUACAGUUUCUGAGUAUUAUUUUUGUUAAUGGGAUCUAAGGGGCAUCGUUUUCCUGAUGUGGUGUAAUUGAAGCUGCUGUAUUAAAGGGUUGUGUUCCUCUCCUGCUGCUGAGACACAAAGUACAGCAAAACCCCAUCCCAGUUAUUAACCCAGGAAGUCCCCAUGGUGCACUGCACUCUAAUGAGAGGCUGAUAUGUGUUUUAUUUUUCUCUCUUUUUUUUUUCAUUUACUUGUCAGCCUUUUGACCCCUCUGGAGCUCAUCUGGUGCUCAGUGGUCCACCUCUGUCUCUUCAUGGCGGCUUAUAGGUUUAAAAGUUUGCCAGUUUUUCCUCUUCUAGAAGACACUUCUUAGUUUUUUUCACUGACUUUAAAAUACUCUCACACUGAUCCUUAUAUUGAUGACCUGUGCAGUGAAAUUAGAGAAGAGAGGCAGUACUGGUUGUUUCUAUAUAAGGAAUUUUAGAGCAGUGGUUCUCAACUGGUGGGUCCCGACCCAAAAGUGGGUCGCGGACAUGUUCUGGAUGGGUCACAAACAGCUGGUCAAAAAAGUAAAUAUUUAAAGUGAUAUUUAUUAGAUAUUUGAUAAUUUCUGUAUAUGCAACUUCAGUAGUUGUCUUCCUCAUGUUGUCCCCUUCAUGUGCUCUGAAAUGCACUUCACUCAAUAAAUCAAGUGGAUUUAUGUUAAAGAUUAGAGUCUUUAAAGGAUUUUUUUCCUAAAAAAUAAAAUUUGCUUGGUUUGAAUUCUAUAAAAGUGACUUAAGAACCAUGGGAAAAUGUGGGUCCCAGAAUUAGACCAGUUGAGAACCACUGUUUUAGAGCCUGCUAUUCAAGAACUCUGAAGCACACAUCAUGACAUCAGGGCUGAACUGGUAUGUCUAGCAAAUAGUGAUUUAUCUGCGCUAACAAAGUGUCGAACUGUUAUGUUGCAUGUCACAUUCCCUCAUUAGUCUGCAUCCUGCUAAAGGUUACCUCGAACAAAUGCUCAACUUGACAAGAGCCACAUCUUAACGACAGUGGGGGUUGAUUGGAAACGCACUAUUCAUCCCAUAAAACACCACCAAUUUGGUUGAAAGGGGUCACAAGAAUCAGCUCAAACUCUUCACAGUGUGGGCCCAAAGGGUUAGAAUAUGAAAUAAGUGUCCUCCACUUUUUCUCCUUUCUUUUUGGUUGUAGCACGACUUCCACUUCUGGGACAGUAAAUAUUGAAAAUUGCAGGAAAUAAAAGACAGCCUUUAAUGCAGGUUCAAGCCACCUGCCACCUCAUCAGGAGCCUUACCUUUUGAACUUCAUGAGAAAAUUACACAACAGAUUUGCUGUUUGCAGGAUUAGCUGUGACGUCUCAAAGAAACUUGUUUAUACCAUCUCAUUAUGUGGUUCAAACAUGAUUUGUAUUCCUAUCCCCGUUCCACCAUUUAAUUAAUACUUCAAUAUCGAAAUGUUUACACGUUUCUUUGCCUUAUAGCCUGAAAACACACAAUAUUUUUAAUUAAUAUUAUCUAUGGGUUUAUUUAAUCAACUGCACACAAAUAUUUUCCAUUCAUUAGCGAUUGAUGUUUCAUUUGCCAACAUUUGCAGAUAAAUCUAAUUAAUGCCGCCCACACCCUCAGUCUAAACACAAUGGGCCUUCUUCUCACAACACAACAGCUCCUUGUCUUUAAACAAAUUAACACUAAUAUAUCUUAAUAGGGUUGAAAUUACAACCCCAUACAGCCCGGGGCCCAUUUCUGACAGCCGUUCUUCUUGUUCUUCACCAUCUUCCUGAACAUCUGGAGUUUCCCAUGAUGCUCUUUUUUAUUGGUCCUCUGGCUCGCUCUCAAUUUUUCACCUGAUUGGUUGUCUUUUACACCAUGUUCCUCCAGAGGAAUGCCAUCACUGUUGUGUAUCCAAAGGAGAGAUUAGCUCUACAAUCACUCAAAACACUCAAGAUUUUCUCACACAGGGCAUAACAGCAGCCACGGUUGUAUUGUCUGCUCCGCUUUGAUGUAGGACUUUGAGCCGUGAAGGACGUAUAAUAUCAUUUACAGUCAAAAUCCGGGGUGGUCUUUCCCAGUGUUAACAGCUCAGACCUGCUUUGUGUCCCACUGAUUCCAAAAGAGUGGAUUUUUCUCAGGCUGUUGAACGCUCACUGACUGGUUUAAUUGCUAGCAGACUCAAAGAGAUGGAUAUUUGAAUCACGCUGAGUAAAAUAUUCCUCCAUCUGGAUUUGAUAAGCUCAUAAAUGAAUGCCAUCUGAUGCUGAUUUUACACUUUACACUUCAAACAAUUACAUUAAUUCGAGAGCACUUGCUGUACUUUUACUUAAAAGUGAAAGGACACUAUCAUAGAGUGGCUAUGCGGUUGAACAAAUGUGCAAAUUCAUGCUCUGAAUGUCUUAAAGCAGCUUAAAUACCCCCUGAAAACCUAUAUUUUAGUAAAGAUUUGCACAUUAAGGGCUAAUAUCAGCCUCUUUAUUAGUGAGAACCAUUCUGCAGGGACAGAUAGUCUUCUCAGAGAAAAAGGGAUUGAUGCAUUACCACUAUUUUAACACCAAAACAGCUCUUAACUAAUGUUGGGAAAACAACAAAAACAACUGCCAAAAGAUCUCCUGCAAUCCCUGACUCAAUAACAUUUACACACCAGUGGCUUGGAUCACAAGAGUUCAUGAAAUAUGUGUCAAAACAGGUAGAGCAGAGGAAGCAUGAAUCUAUAAUUAUAUAGACGGUAUAAUUACAAAUCAAGCACGUACACAAUUCAUGGUAUAAUUAUGAACCUUUGCAGUUUUAAGCCACUAAUGGGAACUGGGAGUGAGGGGUUAUUCAACACCCAGACAGCGAAUUACGGUGUAGGCCUCGUUAAUUGGUUAUGCCCCCAGUUUAGAACGGGAACGUGAAAAGGUUGGCAGAUUUAUGGAGCAGUUGCACACUUACACAUCGGUGGUGUUUUGAAGAAGCAGUUUUUUUUUUUGUGCGUGUCUUGUUCAGCGUUUACUGGAAAGAUGUGUGACCACAUAACACGAAGAAAGAGGCUGUCAUGGAGGACUGACAGGUGAGUGAUGUUUAUAAGAAAUGAAGAUAUGCCACCAUGUUUCAUUUUGAGACUUUCACACAUGGUAAAAUGAUUUUUUUGUAGAAAAGCAGCCUUGCAAAAGCAGCCGAACGAUUAGCUGUGGGAGAAAAGGGGAAAAAAAAACGCUCCGGCUCACCAAAGCAGCUUGGUUUUGUAUGGAAACAACUGUGGCUGGAUGUUUGGUUCUCAUAGAAGCCACAUGACAGGGAGGUCAUGAGAGAGACAGCAGGCCCGGCACUGUGUGCGAUCCCACCACACUUAUUCCCUGCUGCACUUUUUGAUGUUUCCCUCCUUGACUUUUAUCACGGUUCCUCAAGAGACCCCUACUCUCACUGAUGUCGAGGAAGCAGACACACACACGUUCGCAAACACACACACCGACUCCUGCACCAUCUGAGCCGAAUCCUGGCUAGUGCUGCCCAUUUCCACCUUCAAAAACUCUUUUAACAAGCAGAGAAAUCAUUUAGCGGACACUUUCCUGGAUCAUAAAACACCAAAUGAUGGCUUUGGGAAUCCUGCGCUUUAUUGAUCUGCACUCUUCGAUUAAAAUAAGAGUACUUCCUGGGCCAGUCCUGGUCAGCUUGGUGGAGAGGAAAUGUUGGGAGGUAAUGAAAAGGGGGGGGGGGGGGGGGGUUGCUCGUGUGAGGCUGAAAUGUGAUCUGGAGCCUGUGUCGCAUUAGCCUUAAAGGCCGUGUGGCAGACGCACUGGCACCACAGAGCAGAGAGGAUGGGUGGCGGAGGAGAAGGAGGAGGAAGACGAAGGAGGGGGAGGCAAAUCGCCGGACACCCUGACGCAGGGAAGAGUAGGCUAAAGCAAAAAGAAGGAUUUGCAGCAUCCUCACUGGAAGAUCUCUGGCCCCUCCUUCUAGAAAUUGACAACAGAAGAGAGAGAGAAAGAUGCUUAUCCCUCAAUCUAAGUCACCUUUGUACCUGCUGCACACACUUCAUCACACUUCCCCCAUCAGCCUGUCAUCCCACAGGGGUCACGGUCAAGCUGGCGCUCCCUCUCUCUCUGUGUCAUGUUGUCUCUCUCCUGCUCUGUAAUUUCCUUUUUUUUUCCUCUCCUCUUUCCCGGAAAGAAUGUGUCUCCUGUCGCUCCUCGAGUCAGAGUCAGAGUCAGGGGGUCUAAAUAGCUCAUUUGGGUGUCUGACUCAGUUACGGAGUCCCAGAGGUGCCUGGAGGAUUCCAAGAAUUCCAGCUUUUGCACCCACAACAGUGACGCCACCUGAGGGAAUGUCAUAGAGAUCAUACCAGACACGUCUUGCACACACUCUGGAUUCAUCUUCCAGCUCCAACAUGAACCUCUGCAUCACGUCCAGAUAAGAGAAAUCUAAGAUAAGUGUGCAGCUGCAUAUGAAGCUUUUUUUAAAGUGGAAUACUGUGAGAAACACUGUUGAUGUGCACGUGAAUGACUGAGUGAUGAUGACAGAGAGGAUGAAGGAGUAGGGGAGGCAGAGAAGAAGGAGACACUGAGCCAGAGUGAGAAGAGUGGAGGGGGUAAUGACUAGGUCUGCUCAGGACAUAGGAGGCGACAGAGGGGGGAAGCGUCUCCGAUCGUCUCCUCGUGGCUCCUCUUUGGCGUCUGUGAUCCUCGGACCCUUCACGCAAUCUCCCUUAUUACAAGGCUUCCCCUCUCCACACGGGCACCACUACAAAAUGGAGCAAUUACAUUUAAUUAGGCUGCGGAGGGUAGCUCGCCUGCCCCAUCCCAAAACCUCAGAGAAGCGCAGACUUCAGGUAACACAACGGUCGGGGAAGAACUUCAAAGAGAUGCAAAAUUACAGCGCCAUUAGUGGAGCCACCACAGAACUGCUGUGAAGCCAGGGAAUCAUUUGACCCAGAGAGGUAGAUUCAAAGGAGUUAAAAACUGAAAAAGCAGAGGAGAGGAGACAAAAACAUCUCAGCAGCCAAAGAUUAAGGGGCAGACGAAGCACUUCUCUAAACAUUGUUUGUGUUGCAUGGGAGACUUGAAAAAUUAAGGAGUCUUUCCAACGCCUAUUAGUUAUCCCAGACCCCUUUGGCCCCCUCUGGAAAGAUGCUUCGUUUGGGGCAUGUCAAACAUUUUGUGGUUUUAUGUUUAAAAAGACAUAUUCCUGCUCCAAACAAACCAGGAUUUACUGUCCUUAUAAGUCACUCAGCCUGUACUAGGAUGAUGAUAUACGAGGCAAUCCCAUUUUAUCUGCCUGCUACUCGCAACACUGGAUUUUGGCUCACAGAGGGCACGAUGGCCCUAAAAAUUUUAUUGAUGCUGACUCACUAGGCCUCCAACCAGAGUGGAAAAUUCUGACUUAAACGCUGCUGGAUCUCCCGAGACAGAAGCACUCUUGUUUAAAAGCCACAGCGUUAACACACAGGUGAGCCAACAAACAAACAAACAAACAAAUAAACAAACAAACGACCAGGAAUCAUUCUGCAUUUUUUUCAUUUUUCCUCUUGGUUGUAAUGUAAUUAAGCAGAUUAUGGAGUCAGGUGAUGAGUCAGAGUUUUUUGUAAUGACACACAAUCAUGCGCACACACACACACUCUCACACACACACACAAUGAAAACAAACCUUGUGUUUAUGACUACAGAAACAUAAAAUUGACAUGCUUUUAUUCAGGGUAAUUGCAGGGUAAUCGCAAUUUUUGCAUUCUCCUCAUAGUAUCUCCACCAGCACCGCUGCCCUGACGCAUUAUAUUUUUAUAUUCUGGAAACCCAAAAUUUAAAGUAGUCCUCCAACCAUGUCAUUUAGAGUUUAAAAUAAUGUAUAAAAACAAGCAUCUAAGCGCCAAUGUCACGGAGGAUUAGGGCUACAUUUAGGCAUAGAUUUAAUAGACAUUUCAUGAAUGGUCUGAAAUUGGCAAGGAUUGUAUCAUAAUAUAAGAAUAACUCUAUUGAAGAGAUCAGAAUUGUUCAUCGAAAAGAAGAGAGUCAUGAAUUUAUGCAGUUUUAUUUAUAAAUGUGAGAGAAUAAAGUCAUAAAUUUAGAAGAUAAAGUCAAAUGUGAAAGAAUAACAUAAUAUUUUGAGGUCAAACUUUUAAAUUAAAAAGGUUGAAGCCGCAAGCUACAAGAUUAAAGUUUCACAUGUACAAAGAUGAGGUUGUAAUUUAAAAGAGUAAAGGUGUUAUUUUAUGGUAAAUAAGUUACAGAAUUACGGACUACAGUUAAUUGAUAUUGAGGCCAAAACAACAUUUGGGAUGAUACCGUGAGGCAGAUGGGUGUCAGUACCGAAUAGUUCAGAAUCCUGAUGACAGUGAAGGACUGAUGCGCUAAAAAACUAAAGGAGUAUUCAGUUUUUAAAAACCACAUUCAAGCAUAAUUUCCAAAGAUACUUCACUUUCCUGGUUUUAGUUCAGGUGGUUAGCUGCACUUCUGGUCUUCUCUUCUAAAAUAAUAAAAUGGCCAACCAUUAUUUUUUCUCCUGAAUUGAAUCUUAAAUCUUCUAAUAUAACAUCUUCAUUCUUAUAAAUUUAUGGCUUGGAUCUUAAAAUCUCAAAUUCAAAAGAUUACAGAAAAAAACCCUCUACUUUCAAAAGGUGGCACCACUCAUCUGUCAUACAUGAAAGACAAGCAUCAAUCAAAACUCAAAUGAUUGUCUUAUGUGUUUUUAAAAGUCUUUCUGAUGUUGGCUUUGAUGAUGAUGGAGCACUGAUGUUUACUACAUGACUGUACAACGAUAGUCACAUGGCUGUUUAUAACGGGCUUUACACUUUCAGUUUAUAAUCAUUCUAAGUAGUAUGGCAUUGAGUUGAGAACAUAGUACAUCCUGCAAUGCUGUGUGCCUCCAGUACGCGGAUGUAUAUACAUAAAAGCCUUUUUUUGGUAUUAGAUAGAAGCGCACUGGUCAUUUUGUAUCUAACUGCCCAGAAAUGCAUCAAGACUCUUUAAACUACACAAUAGUGGAGCUCCCCA